GACGAACGCUGGCGGCGUGCUUAACACAUGCAAGUCGAACGGUGAAGCCCUUCGGGGUGGAUCAGUGGCGAACGGGUGAGUAACACGUGAGCAACCUGCCCCUGGCUCUGGGACAACCACUGGAAACGGUGGCUAAUACCGGAUACGACCCGCCUCGGCAUCGAGUGUGGGUGGAAAGUUUUUCGGCUGGGGAUAGGCUCGCGGCCUAUCAGCUUGUUGGUGAGGUGAAGGCUCACCAAGGCGACGACGGGUAGCCGGCCUGAGAGGGCGACCGGCCACACUGGGACUGAGACACGGCCCAGACUCCUACGGGAGGCAGCAGUGGGGAAUAUUGCACAAUGGGCGAAAGCCUGAUGCAGCGACGCCGCGUGAGGGAUGACGGCCUUCGGGUUGUAAACCUCUUUCAGCUCCGAAGAAGCGAAAGUGACGGUAGGAGCAGAAGAAGCACCGGCUAACUACGUG
rnacentral:rRNA from 1 species